AUUGAACGCUGGCGGCAGGCCUAACACAUGCAAGUCGAACGGUAACAGAAAGAAGCUUGCUUCUUUGCUGACGAGUGGCGGACGGGUGAGUAAUGUCUGGGAAACUGCCUGAUGGAGGGGGAUAACUACUGGAAACGGUAGCUAGUACCGCAUAACGUCGCAAGACCAAAGAGGGGGACCUUCGGGCCUCUUGCCAUCGGAUGUGCCCAGAUGGGAUUAGCUUGUUGGUGGGUAACGGCUCACCAAGGCGACGAUCCCCUAGCUGGUCUGAGAGGAUGACCAGCCACACUGGAACUGAGACACGGUCCAGACACCUACGGGUGGCAGCAGUCGAGAAUCAUUCACAAUGGGGGAAACCCUGAUGGUGCGACGCCGCGUGGGGAAUGAAGGUCUUCGGAUU
rnacentral:rRNA from 1 species